GACGAACGCUGGCGGCGUGCUUAAUACAUGCAAGUCGAGCGAGACUCUUGAUGAAGCUUGCGAUUCAAGAGUUUAGCGGCGGACGGGUGAGUAACGCGUGGGCAACCUGCCCUCUAGUCUGGGAUAACAGAGCGAAAGUUCUGCUAACACCGGAUAUGCUUACAGUCAGGCAUCUGAAGGUAAGGAAAGGAUACGCUAGAGGAUGGGCCCGCGUCCCAUUAGCUAGUUGGUGAGGUAACGGCUCACCAAGGCGACGAUGGGUAGCCGACCUGAGAGGGUGACCGGCCACACUGGGACUGAGACACGGACCAGACUCCUACGGGAGGCAGCAGUGAGGAAUAUUGGUCAAUGGUCGGAAGACUGAACCAGCCAUGCCGCGUGCAGGAAGACGGUCCUAUGGAUUGUAAACUGCUUUUGUACGGGAAGAAACACUCCUUCGUGAAGGAGCUUGACGGUACCGUAAGAAUAAGGAUCGGCUAACUCCGUGCCAGC
rnacentral:rRNA from 1 species